UACGUAGGGUGCGAGCGUUGUCCGGAAUUAUUGGGCGUAAAGGGCUCGUAGGCGGUUUGUCGCGUCGGGAGUGAAAACACCGGGCUUAACUCGGUGCUUGCUUCCGAUACGGGCAGACUAGAGGCAUGCAGGGGAGAACGGAAUUCCUGGUGGAGCGGUGAAAUGCGCAGAUAUCAGGAGGAACACCCGUAGCGAAGGCGGCACUCUGGGCCGGAACUGACGCUGAGGAGCGAAAGCGUGGGGAGCGAACAGG
rnacentral:rRNA from 1 species